UACGUAGGGCGCGAGCGUUGUCCGGAAUUAUUGGGCGUAAAGAGCUCGUAGGCGGCCUGUUGCGUCUGCUGUGAAAUCCCUGGGCUCAACCUGGGAAUGGCAGUGGAUACUGGACGGCUAGAAUGCGGUAGAGGGUAGUGGAAUUCCCGGUGUAGCAGUGAAAUGCGUAGAGAUCGGGAGGAACACCAGUGGCGAAGGCGGGUCUCUGGGCCGAUACUGACGCUGAGGAGCGAAAGCGUGGGGAGCGAACAGG
rnacentral:rRNA from 1 species